AACGAACGCUGGCGGCAGGCUUAACACAUGCAAGUCGAACGGAUCCUUCGGGAUUAGUGGCAGACGGGUGAGUAACGCGUGGGAACGUACCCUUUGCUACGGAAUAACUCAGGGAAACUUGAGCUAAUACCGUAUGUGCCCUACGGGGGAAAGAUUUAUCGGCAAAGGAUCGGCCCGCGUUGGAUUAGCUAGUUGGUGGGGUAAUGGCCUACCAAGGCGACGAUCCAUAGCUGGUCUGAGAGGAUGAUCAGCCACACUGGGACUGAGACACGGCCCAGACUCCUACGGGAGGCAGCAGUGGGGAAUAUUGGGCAAUGGGCGCAAGCCUGAUCCAGCCAUGCCGCGUGAGUGAUGAAGGUCUUAGGAUUGUAAAGCUCUUUCACCGGUGAAGAUAAUGACGGUAGCCGGAGAAGAAGCCCCGGCUAACUUCGUG
rnacentral:rRNA from 1 species